rnacentral:rRNA from 1 species
GACAGAGGGUGCAAACGUUGCUCGGAAUCACUGGGCGUAAAGGGCGUGUAGGCGGGAAGGUAAGUCGGGCGUGAAAUCCCUGGGCUCAACCCAGGAACUGCACUCGAAACUACUUUUCUUGAGUGCCGGAGAGGAAAGCGGAAUACCUGGUGUAGAGGUGAAAUUCGUAGAUAUCAGGUGGAACACCAGUGGCGGAAGGCGGCUUUCUGGACGGUAACUGAC